rnacentral:tRNA from 1 species
GACAAGGUAGUUUAGUGGGAAGAAUAUCUAUUUUACACGUAGGAGGCGGGUUUUCCCUAUUGUCA